rnacentral:rRNA from 1 species
GACGAACGCUGGCGGCGUGCUUAACACAUGCAAGUCGAACGGAAAGGCCUUUUCGGAGGUACUCGAGUGGCGAACGGGUGAGUAACACGUGGGUGAUCUGCCCUGCACUCUGGGAUAAGACUGGGAAACUGGGUCUAAUACCGGAUAGGACCGCGCAUGGGAGUGUGUGGUGGGGAGAGUUUUGGUUGUGGGGGGACGCGGCGGCCUGUCAGCUAGUUGGUGGGGUAAUGGCCUACCAAGCAAGCGCGGGGUGGCCGGACUGAGAGGUUGGUCGGCCCCUUUGGGAUUGGGUACCGCCCCAGCUUCUUCGGGGGGCCGGAGGUGGGGAAUUUUGCCAAAUGGGCGCAAGCCUGAGCAGGAGACGCGGCUUCGGGGUUGCGGGCUUCGGGGUGGUAACCGCCUUUCGUCAGGGCGGAAGCGUUUUGUGACGGUAGCUGGAGAAGAAGCACCGGCUAACUACGUG